rnacentral:tRNA from 1 species
GGAAAUGUGGCUUAGUGGUAGAGUGCUUGCCUAGCUAGCAUGCGUGAAGUCCUGGGUUCAAUUCCCCAGUACCA